GAACCCCACCGUCAAUAUCUUCCGAAAAGUUCCACUCAGACCCAAACGAAGACGCUUUCCCAUUUCGCUUUUCUGAAGUCUGGCUUCUAUUUAGUCUAUCCCUCGCCGUCUAACAAGUUUUGAUUCAUUGGGUGUCGUAAGCCCGAGAGUUUGGUAUUGCGCAAGGAGCGGCUUGUACGUGUAAACUUGUCGGGGGGGGUUGGUGAGUGUAAUGUGUGUUCGUGUGUAUGUGUGUAUUUAUCUGCGCAUUCAGUCUCAGUUGGCUCUCUGAUGUGAACGUGGAGGGAGACUUGUUACAUUUCUCCGUGUGUUUUGCCGAUAAAAGGGGCGCCGUUCGCGGGAAAAUCCAUGGAUACAAAAAACCAUCUGUCUUAAGACAUCACAUUGAAAUCCUUGAUUCAAGACUGCAACCUUGUAUUGCGACCAAACAACGAGUUUAACAUCUAACGAGCUGUGUCAUUACCAUAUGUGCAACUGAAGCACACACACACAGGACGUGAAAAGUGAAGCACAGUAACGCAACAGGAUCUAUACAUUGAAAAGCUCGGUGCACCAAAAGUGAAUCAGAAUUGUGUUAUAUUCCCAGAAAUCCGAAUUCAAGAGAAAGAACACAGAACUCGAAUUCGGGUCCAG
rnacentral:lncRNA from 1 species